ACAGCCACAUGCCUCUUCUAGAGAAUCCCUUGAGAGCUCAGCUCCUCACCAUGGACUGGACCUGGAGGAUCAUCUUGGUGGCAGCAGCCACAGGUGCCCACUCUCAGGCCCAGCUGGUGCAGUCUGGGGCUGAGGUGAAGAAGCCUCUAUCCUCAGUGAAGAUCUCCUUCAAGGCUUCUGGAUACACCUUCACCAACAACUUUAUGCACUGGGUGUGACAGGCCCCUGGACAAGGACUUGAGUGGAUGGGAUGGAUGAACACUGGCAAUGGUAACACAAAAUAUGUACAGAAGUUCCAGGGCAGAGUCACCAUAACCAGGGACACGUCCAUGAGCACAGUCUACAUGGAGCUAAGCAGCCUGGGAUCUGAGGACACGGCCGUGUAUUACUGUGCAAGAGACACAGUGGGAACACCCACAUCCUCAGAGUGUCAGAAACCCCAGGAAGGAGGCAACUGCGCGGGCAUGGAGGAGAUGACAAAGAUUAUUAGAUUAAAACUUUCUUAGAAAAUAACAUUAAGUCAUUAAAGAAAAGGAACAAUAUAAAUGUGAUUUGAUAAAUCUUAAUUCUUUGAAAGAUUUUUCAUACACCAUUCAUUAUGUAAACAAAUUUCAGGGAUUGGAGAAUGAAUUGAAUUAAUGUAACUGAUAUAGAA